UGGCGUGUGAAGGAGUAGUUCUACUUUAUCAGUGGAAACAAGGAAACACUUGAUUAAGUAGAACCAAUAA
rnacentral:sRNA from 10 species